rnacentral:rRNA from 1 species
CGCGAACGUUGGCGGCGCGCCUAACACAUGCAAGUCGAGGGGCAGCAGGCCCUCCCUUUUGGGAGGGUGCUGGCGACCGGCGAACGGGUGAGUAACGCGUAGCUAACCUACCCCGAGGAUGGGGAUAACCCUCCGAAAGGGGGGCUAAUACCCAAUAAAGAGGCUUAUCUUAGUGAUGAGCCUCCAAAGGGGCAUUGCCCGCCUCGGGAUGGGCUCGCGUCCCAUCAGGUAGUUGGUGAGGUAACGGCUCACCAAGCCUACGACGGGUAGCCGGCCUGAGAGGGUGGUCGGCCACACCGGGACUGAGACACGGCCCGGACUCCUACGGGAGGCAGCAGUGGGGAAUCUUGGGCAAUGGGCGCAAGCCUGACCCAGCGACGCCGAGUGGAGGAAGAAGCCCUUCGGGGUGUAAACUCCUGUCGCCGGGGACGAUGCGGGCGGGGGUUAACAGCCCCUGCCCGUGACGGUACCCGGAGAGGAAGGGACGGCUAACUACGUGCCAGCAGCCGCGGUAAUACGUA